CUUGGUCAUUUAGAGGAAGUAAAAGUCGUAACAAGGUUUCCGUAGGUGAACCUGCGGAAGGAUCAUUAGUGAAUUUUAGGGCGUCUACUUGUAGAGCCUGACCCUCCACUUCUAACACUGUGCAUUAUUCGGUCAUUUGGCGACGUACCUUCGGGUGUCGAGCUGUUUGGCUAAUUUUACCAUUAAACAUUAGUACCAGUAUGUAACGAAAUAUCGAAACAAAAAAAAACUUUCAACAACGGAUCUCUUGGCUCUCGCAUCGAUGAAGAACGCAGCGAAAUGUGAUAAGUAAUGUGAAUUGCAGAAUUCAGUGAAUCAUCGAAUCUUUGAACGCACCUUGCGCUCCCUGGUAUUCCGGGGAGCAUGCCUGUUUGAGUGUCAUGAACUCUUCAACCCACCAGUUUCUAGUAGACUGUGUGAUGUUUGGAUCUUGAGCGUUGCUAGUCUGACUAGCUCGUUCGUAAUAUAUUAGCAUCUCUAAUUCGACUUCGGAUUGACUCAGUGUAAUAGGACUAUUCGCUGAGGACACUUUUAUUAGUGGCCGUAUGAGAACCAGUAGAAGCUUCCAACUACUUAGUCAACUUUGAUUUAGACCUCAGAUCAGGCGGGAUUACCCGCUGAACUUAAGCAUAUCAAUAAGCGGAGGA
rnacentral:rRNA from 1 species